UACGGAGGGGGCUAGCGUUGUUCGGAAUUACUGGGCGUAAAGCGCGCGUAGGCGGCUUUGUAAGUUAGAGGUGAAAGCCCGGAGCUUAACUCCGGAAUUGCCUUUAAGACUGCAUCGCUAGAAUCAUGGAGAGGUGAGUGGAAUUCCGAGUGUAGAGGUGAAAUUCGUAGAUAUUCGGAAGAACACCAGUGGCGAAGGCGACUCACUGGACAUGUAUUGACGCUGAGGUGCGAAAGCGUGGGGAGCAAACAGG
rnacentral:rRNA from 1 species